UACGAAGGGUGCAAGCGUUACUCGGAAUUACUGGGCGUAAAGCGUGCGUAGGUGGUUUGUUAAGUCUGUUGUGAAAGCCCCGGGCUCAACCUGGGAAUGGCAAUGGAUACUGGCAAGCUAGAGUGCGGUAGAGGGUAGUGGAAUUCCCGGUGUAGCGGUGAAAUGCGUAGAGAUGUGGAGGAACACCGAUGGCGAAGGCAGCCCCCUGGGCUAACACUGACGCUCAUGCACGAAAGCGUGGGGAGCAAACAGG
rnacentral:rRNA from 1 species